GUACAUACAUACAUCCAAUAAACCGAAUCUGCAAUCCAAUUAAAUGCUUAGUGUCAAUUAAAAAUUUAAAUUUAAUUGGCUACACAUUAAACGACGAAUGGGCACAGAUUAAAAACUCAUUAGGAGAGACAAGUGAUUAACAAACCGAAAAAAGGUAGAAAUACACACACACAUACACAAGUACAUCCACUGGAUAAAGUUUCACAUAACGGCAGAGACACAUUAAAAAUCGCGCAGAAGGACCUUAACAACAUCGGAUAAUGCACGUCUGCGUAGUGCUGCAUGGGUUUUAGUGAGCCGCAUUGUAAGAGGAAAGGUGGACACUUCGCGCAAUGUUUAAUUCCCAACAUUUGUGGCCAAUUUAAAUUAACGAUCCGCGUAAAUGCUUACCAUUUAACACGAGCUGAGGGUUUGGCGAGAAAAUGAAUCUUCCGAUGAGGAAUUUAUUAUACUUUUAAUCUUAAGAUUCGGCAGUUUGUGGCUUUGCAACAGUUUGUAACUAAAUUCAGUUAUUGCUGGUAAUUGAUGUAUGUGCCUAAGAUUAC